rnacentral:rRNA from 1 species
UGGGGAAUAUUGCGCAAUGGGGGCAACCCUGACGCAGCAACGCCGCGUGCGGGACGACGGCCUUCGGGUUGUAAACCGCUUUCAGCAGGGAAGAUAGUGACGGUACCUGCACAAGAAGCCACGGCUAACUACGUGCCAGCAGCCGCGGUAAUACGUAGGUGGCGAGCGUUAUCCGGAAUUAUUGGGCGUAAAGGGUGCGUAGGCGGUCUGUUAAGUUCAUGGUUAAAUUUUGGGGCUCAACCCCAUUGAGCCAUGGAUACUGGCAGACUAGAGUAUUGGAGAGGCAAGCGGAAUUCCAUGUGUAGCGGUAAAAUGCGUAGAUAUAUGGAGGAACACCGGUGGCGAAGGCGGCUUGCUAGCCAAAGACUGACGCUCAGGCACGAAAGCGUGGGGAGCAAAUAGG